AGGCUUCCCUGAUCGGGGUAAGAGCAUGAUGACAAAGGUGAUGUUCUUAGAUGCGAUACAUUCAUUGCACUAGGAUAUGCUGACCCCUGUCAUUUCCUGAAAUGUUAGAAACAACUGCACAAUUUAAGGCAGUAGGGGCUACAUUUAUGCUCUCCAC
ensembl:snRNA U1 U1 spliceosomal RNA